rnacentral:lncRNA from 1 species
UGUGCGAUGUCAAUGCACGUUGAAGAACACCAGAUGGUCAAAAGUUCCGGAGCCCUCGCCUUCGGCGUCUUUCAUAUUCAUAUGGUGCUUUUGGGACGUAAAACCACACAG